UACGUAGGGUGCGAGCGUUAAUCGGAAUUACUGGGCGUAAAGGGCUCGUAGGCGGCCAACUAAGUCGGAUGUGAAAUCCCCAGGCUCAACUUGGGAACUGCAUCCGAUACUGGAUGGCUUGAAUUCGGGAGAGGGAUGCAGAAUUCCAGGUGUAGCGGUGAAAUGCGUAGAGAUGUGGAGGAACACCAGUGGCGAAGGCGACUCUUUGGUCUGUAACUGACGCUGAGGCGCGAAAGCGUGGGGAGCAAACAGG
rnacentral:rRNA from 1 species